rnacentral:rRNA from 1 species
UACGGGGGGGCAAGCGUUGUUCGGAUUUACUGGGCGUAAAGGGCGCGUAGGCGGCCACCGCAAGUCGACUGUGAAAUCUCCGGGCUUAACCCGGAAAGGUCAAUCGAUACUGCGGGGCUAGAGUGCAGAAGGGGCAACUGGAAUUCUCGGUGUAGCGGUGAAAUGCGUAGAUAUCGAGAGGAACACCUGCGGCGAAGGCGGGUUGCUGGGCUGACACUGACGCUGAAGCGCGAAAGCUAGGGGAGCGAACGGG